rnacentral:rRNA from 1 species
AGUACCUUUAUGCACUUAAUGAAUCAAGUCCUUAGACCCUUCUUAUCCCACUUUGUUGUGGUCUAUUUCGAUGACAUCUUGAUCCAUAGCAAGGAUGAGAAUGAACACUUUGAUCACAUUCGGAAGGUGCUAGAAGUACUAAGGGGAAAUGAGCUCUACAUCAACUUGAAGAAAUGUGUUUUCCUGCAAACACAACUUCUUUUCCUAGGAUUCGUCAUAACAUGUGACGACAUUCGUGUUGAUGAUUCUAAGGUCGAAGAAAUCCGAGAAUGGCCAACUCCUAAGACCAUUUCUGAGGUAAGAAGCUUUCAUGGCCUUGCAACUUUCUAUAGGAGAUUUGUGAAGAAUUUCAGCACUAUCAUGGCACCAAUUACUGAGUGUUUGAAGAAAGGAAAGUUCCAAUGGACAGAAGCAACUGAAGCUAGUUUCAAUGAGAUUAAACAAAAGCUAUCACAAGCUCCUGUCUUGGUACUACCUGAUUUCAACAAGACUUUUGAGUUGGAGUGUGAUGCAAGUGGAGUAGGCAUUGGAGUUGUCCUAUCUCAAGAAAGGAAGCCCAUUGCUUUCUUUAGUGAGAAGUUAAGUGAAGCUAGACAGAAAUGGAGUACCUAUCAACAAGAAUUAUACGCCGUUUUCAAAGCGUUGAAAACUUGGGAAGUCUAUUUGCUGCCUAAAGAGUUGAUUGUUUAUAGCGACCAUCAAUCCUUGAAGCAUUUUAGAAAUCAAAAGCAUGUUGACCGCAUGCUAGCAAGAUGGGCAGCAUAUCUGGAGAGGUUUAACUAUCUCAUCGUGCAUAAAUCUGGAAUAACUAACAGAGUGGCUGAUGCUUUGAGUCGUCAUGCAUGCCUCUUGACUUCUUUUGAAGCCGAACUUCCGGGCAUGGAUCAAAUAAAGGAGUUGUAUGAGGGUGACGAAGACUUUGGCCAUGUUUGGGUAAAGCACGCAAGGGGCCAACCAUUAGGUGAUGACUAUUUGAUGCAAGAUGGACAUCUCUUCAAAAAUGAUCGUUUGUGCAUUCCAAGAAGUUCUCUACGUGACAAGCUAGUUAGAGAGCUCCAUUCAAGUGAUCUUAGUGGCCAUGUUGGA